CCUACGGGGGGCAGCAGUGGGGAAUAUUGCGCAAUGGGCGAAAGCCUGACGCAGCGACGCCGCGUGAGGGAUGAAGGUCUUCGGAUCGUAAACCUCUGUCAGCAGGGAAGAACGGUCACUGUGCUAAUCAGCAGUGACUUGACGGUACCUGCACAGGAAGCACCGGCUAACUCCGUGCCAGCAGCCGCGGUAAUACGGAGGGUGCGAGCGUUAAUCGGAAUUACUGGGCGUAAAGCGCUCGUAGGCGGUAUGUCAAGUCAAGGGUGAAAUCCCCGCGCUCAACGUGGGAUCUGCCUUUGAAACUGGCAAACUGGAGUGUGUGAGAGGAUAGUGGAAUUCCAGGUGUAGGAGUGAAAUCCGUAGAUAUCUGGAGGAACAUCAGUGGCGAAGGCGACUAUCUGGCACAUAACUGACGCUGAGGAGCGAAAGCGUGGGUAGCAAACAGGAUUAGAUACCCGAGUAGUC
rnacentral:rRNA from 1 species